CUACUGUUUCCUCUAUCUCUCGAUUGGUCCUAAGUUUUAUUUAUUUAUUGUACGUGACCGUUAGAAUUAGAGAAACGUGUUUGCUAGUUUAUCGAAUUUGCAGAGAAGUCACGACUGUCCGAUCUUUAAGCAAUUGGUUGUAUUUUCUAUUGGCAAGUUCACAACAAAAAUCCCAAGAGUUUAAAAUAAACAAGUACCACGAAGCACAGCUUUGAAUAAAUCACAGGAAAAAACAGAUGCAAAAGGUGAACUGCGAGUUGUACACGAGUUUUGCUUUAUUGAUGAUAUCAGCUGAAAAACAUUUACUGCUGUUUAGUUUUUUAAAUAAAUAAACGAGUAAAGAUCAUCCUGGAAAGUUGCGAGUUAUAUGGGAGUUUUGCUUUAUUGAUGAUACGGCGAUUACAAACAUGUACAACCAUUCACUUCUUUAAAUAAAUAAACAUAAACAUAUUUAAUAUAAUAUAAUUUUAUACAUUAUGAAAGAUUAUAAUAUCAUUUGCUGUAAUAUAUA